ACCCAGACUCCUACGGGAGGCAGCAGUCGGGAAUAUUGCGCAAUGGAGGAAACUCUGACGCAGUGACGCCGCGUAUAGGAAGAAGGUUUUCGGAUUGUAAACUAUUGUCCACAGGGAAGAAGGAGGACGGUACCUGACUAAGAAGCCCCGACUAACUACGUGCCAGCAGCCGCGGUAAUACGUAGGGGGCAAGCGUUAUCCGGAUUUACUGGGUGUAAAGGGGGCGCAGACGGCAGCGCAGGCCAGGAGUGAAAGCCCGGGGCCCAACCCCGGGACUGCUCUUGGAACUGCGCGGCUGGAGUGCAGGAGGGGCAGGCGGAAUUCCUGGUGUAGCGGUGAAAUGCGUAGAUAUCAGGAGGAACACCGGUGGCGAAGGCGGCCUGCUGGACUGCGACUGACGUUGAGGCCCGAAAGCGUGGGGAGCAAACAGGAUUAGAUACCCCAGUAC
rnacentral:rRNA from 1 species